UAAAGGUUUGGUCCUAGCCUUACUGUUAAUUAUAAUUAGACCUACACAUGCAAGUUUCCGCUGCCCGGUGAGAAUGCCCUCGACAUUAAAGCCAAAUUAACAGGAGCUGGUAUCAGGCACACUACCGGUUGCCCAUUACACCUUGCUUAACCACACCCCCACGGGCUACAGCAGUGACUAACAUUAAGCUAUAAACGAAAGUUUGACUAAAUCAUAAUUACUUAGGGUUGGUAAAUUUCGUGCCAGCCACCGCGGUCAUACGAUUAACCCAAAUUAACAGAAAGUCGGCGUAAAGCGUGUUUAAGCAUAUCCUACUUAAUUUUGCUGAAUACACGAUAGCUAAGAGACAAACUGGGAUUAGAUACAAUAAAGCUAAUAUCCAACUGAGCUGUAAUACGCUCCAGUUGAGAUUAAAAUACUCGACUAAAGUGGCUCCCACUAUGCUUAGCCCUAAACUUAGACAAUUAACCUAACAAAAUUGUUCGCCAGAGAACUACUAGCCAUCGCUUAAAACUCAAAGGACUUGGCGGUGCCCUAAACCCACCUAGAGGAGCCUGUUCUAUAAUCGAUAAACCCCGAUAAACCUCACCUCUUCUUGCCAAUACAGUCUAUAUACCGCCAUCGUCAGCCAACCCCAAUAGGGUAACAAAGUGAGCAUGAUCAUCAACCAUAAAAACGUUAGGUCAAGGUGUAGCAUAUGAAGAGGGAAGUAAUGGGCUACAUUUUCUAUACUAGAACAUCAACGAACUAUCUUAUGAAACCUAAGAUAUCUGAAGGAGGAUUUAGUAGUAAAUUAAGAAUAGAGAGCUUAAUUGAAAUAGGCAAUAGGGCGCGCACACACCGCCCGUCACCCUCCUCAACUAAAUAUCAAUAAUAACUAAUAAAAUGCUUACCAAAAGAGGAGAAAAGUCGUAACAUGGUAAGUGUACCGGAAGGUGCACUUGGAAAAUC
rnacentral:rRNA from 1 species